UUUUGGAUACUGGAGAUGGAAUAGGGGCUUGCUCCGUCCACUCCAUGCAUCGACCCGGUAUUGCAGUACUUCCGGGAACGGUGUAUCCCCA
ensembl:snRNA U2 U2 spliceosomal RNA